rnacentral:rRNA from 1 species
AUUGAACGCUGGCGGCAGGCCUAACACAUGCAAGUCGAACGAGUGGCGGACGGGUGAGGAAUGUAUGGGCAACUGCCUGAUGGAGGGGGAUAAGUACUGGACACGGUAGCUAAUAACGCAUACCAUAGGCUGGGCCCAGCUGGGAUGGGCUAGUGGGUGGGGUAAAGGCACACCUCGGCGCCGAUCCCUAGCUGGUCUGAGAGGAUGACCAGUCAAACUGGAACUUAGACACGGUCCAGACUCCUACGGGAGGCAGCAGUGGGGAAUAUUGGACAAUGGGCGAAAGCCUGAUGCAGCCAUGCCGCGUGUGUGAAGAAGGCCUUCGGAUUGUAAAGUACUUUAAGCUGGGAGGCGUUACCCGCAGAAGAAGCACCGGCUAACUCCGUGCCAGCCGCCGCGGUAAUAC